rnacentral:rRNA from 1 species
UCGGGAAUUUUGGGCAAUGGGCGAAAGCCUGACCCAGCAACGCCGCGUGAAGGAUGAAGUAUUUCGGUAUGUAAACUUCGAAAGAAUAGGAAGAAUAAAUGACGGUACUAUUUAUAAGGUCCGGCUAACUACGUGCCAGCAGCCGCGGUAAUACGUAGGGACCAAGCGUUGUUCGGAAUCACUGGGCGUAAAGCGCACGUAGGCGGAUAGUUAAGUCAGGGGUGAAAUCCUGGGGCUCAACCCCAGAACUGCCUUUGAUACUGGCUGUCUCGAGGUCGAGAGAGGUUGGUGGAAUUCCUAGUGUAGAGGUGAAAUUCGUAGAUAUUAGGAAGAACACCAGUGGCGAAGGCGGCCAACUGGCUCGAUACUGACGCUGAGGUGCGAAAGCGUGGGGAGCAAACAGGAUUAGAUACCCUAGUAGUCCCUGAGCGGGCUGGCAAGGCGCAU